GCUUACAAAGGAUAUCAUGCAAUUUGCGGAAGCUGGGUUUAAACUACGGGGGUUCAGGAUAGGCCUUUUUUAAGGUGAGAUCUGAAGGUUGCCCCACAGAGAGCGUGAGCACUCCCCCUGCAGCACCACCUAAUUAGUGCAGAUGUCCAGAGAGAUGAGGACACACGUGCACACCAAGAGGGUCUGAAAGAUUUAUUGCUUACAUGCCAAGGUUUUCUGGGAAGAGCAGGGCAAUACAAAAUGGCCUGAAUGAAAACAGUUCAAAGGGAAAGCUUAAAGAGGGUGGAGAGAGAGAAUGAGAAUCCCAGCAUCGUUCAGUUCCUGUUCAGGUUGCUUUUGAAGACGUUUCGUCGCUGAUGUGGUGACGCCGUCUUCCUUCAGUCAGCAUACAGAAGUUCGUACAAUUCAUAUGAAUUUUCACAAAGUGAACUCACCCGUUUAGCCAGCACUGAGAUCAAGAAACAGAGCCCUGCAGAAGCCCAGCAGCCUCCACCCUGCCCCGCCGUCGUCACCCAGCCCCUCACCCCUCUGCAAGGCCUCUCCUGAUUACAUUGGAUCCAGGUGGGUAGGACAUGGACAUCUUUGGGGAACCAUUGGUCGGCCUACCACACCAACCCUCUGAAGUUAUGUUCGGCUCCCGUCCUCCAGUACACUUCAUCUCUGCCACCUCAGUGAAGUAAAGCGGAAACUCAAUGUCCUUUUACCCCGUGAUCUCAACUCAAAGACGUUUACAAAGUAAACUCCUGGAGCGUAGGGAUGGACCAGCUUCGUUACUGUUUUCCCACCACCGGAAUAAUCUUGGAUACUCAGUGGACACUCAGUGACUACUUGUCAGUUGAAGGAACGCGUGAAGGAGUAUUCCCUACAUCCUGACAUCCCUCCUGCGAGGUGAGGAGCAGCCGUGUGACACGGGAGGACCUGAGGAUAACUGCCUGCAGCUGUGGUUUUACUCCAUACUCUGAUCUUCACCAAAACACGUACGGUCUCUCUAUACCUCCAUUUCCUCACCUGGUAAAUGAGGUGGCUGGCACAGGUAAUAUCUAGAGUAUCUAGCCAGCAUUAAUAUUCAUUUUAAGUGGAAACAAUCCUUAAGGUAAAAAGUAAAGUGCAAAGGUCAGAAUUCAAAAUUCUAUAAAUGGCAUGAUUUAAAUUGACUGUAAAAUUAUGCACCAUACUAAUAUAAAUGUUAGCAAAAAGGGGAAACUGGGUUUAAGAUACAUGGGCAUUCUGUACUAUCUCCACAAUUUUUCAAUGAAUUUAAAACUGUUCUAAAAUAAAAAGUUUAUUUUUUAAAAGUUGCUUGUCAGUGAGAUGAGGUUAUAAACUCCUUGGGGGUAGGGACCAUGUUCUCCCUCAUAUUUGUUUACAUAAAGCCUAGGACAGUGCUUCACAGAGAGUGACUAAUAAGUGUUGAAGUGUAAGAGAAAAUA